CUAUUAACGCUAUUCAAAACUUUGUUGUUCGGGGUGAAUGGAAAAUUUGCCAUUCGCACAAAAUCACAAUUGUUUAAGGUAAACAAAUAAAUGUGAUAAAGUGGUAAACAUAUCAUUAUUCAAAUGGAUUCAUCGCGAAAAACAAUUAUGUGGGUGCAAAAGUAUGAGCAAAUGCUCUUCGAUAUGUGGGAGGAAAACAUUGGGAUAUUAAACGGCUCGGAACUAAAGAGUCCAACAUUUGUAGAAUUCGCUCUAAGGCUGCAAGAGGCUGGCUUCAAUGUAGACUGGAAAAAAGUUAGAUCAAAGAUGGACAACUUGACCAAGCGCUACAAGUACAGCUGAAGUGCGUGAAUUGCGAAAACCUGAUGGAAAACGAACCCACUGGAGGCAUUUUAAAAGACUUCAUAGAAUCCUGGGACCCAUAAAGUCGAGAAAAAAGUUGCUGAGCAGUACACCUUUUUUAAAAGUCGAUGAACAGGUUAAUAUUGAUCCAAAUGAAAGUGAUGAACUAUUAGUGGAAAAUUUUGACGCCCUUAUAGAAGAGCCGUUGGAUCACUCCUAUUAUACGCAGUUCCAAGAGGAACACGUGGGAGAAAAUGAGAAUUAUUCCACAAACGAAUCGGUACCAACAAUGAAAUUAGAAAAACGUAUUGCUAACCCGGUAAUGACGCCCUUUGAAUCGGCCAUGAUUGAGGUUGUCAAGCAACGCUCCAAAGACUUAAAUCAAGCGGCUGCAGAGCGUCUGGAAGUCCUCAAUCGUCACUUGAGCAGCACCAUAGAGUUUCAAAAUAAGUUAUUGAAGAUGAUGUCAAAUUAGAC